AUAUAAUAUAUGUCUAUUGUUUGGAAGAUGAGAGAACUACAUAAUGAAAAACAAAGAGAAUUAACUAGCCAAUAAUAUAUAUAGAAUAUAAU